rnacentral:lncRNA from 1 species
CUUAACUCCAUCUCAAAAGAGAUCAAUUAUAUUUUGCUUUUCAAUGAUACCCACUCAGGCAACAAGUUGCUUUGACUAGUAGCUCAUGACUGCUGGGAAUUCCACUCUAGAAGAAAAUACCCUCUAUUGCCAGCUGAACGUCUUUAUCGAUAAACUGCAUAUAUUUUCAAAUUAUAGUGCGAUAUUUAUACAGAGACUAAAAUGUAAAUCGUUCACUUGUAAGAUUAAUAUAUAAAUAAUAUUUACCAAAACUGCUUUGAGAAAUGUGGCUUAAUGACUCAAAUUCAGUAAAAGAUUAGUCUCUUAAGAACAUUUCUUUCACACUAAUAGGAGAGAAUCCAAACAUUCUGUGAAUAGAAAGUCCCACAUUUCUUGGUGUGUCCUGGGGAGUCUAAUAUUCUAUACUUAGAUCUGGAGAAGUGGUCCAUGAAGGAGCUCAUGGCUGAGCCCGGCACGUAAAGCUCGAGGAACCCCAGUGCAGGGAGGGGCUCCCUGCACCCAGUGGCUUCACUGAUGGUCGGGUGGGGGUGGGGGUGGGCAGGGCCACCUGGCAGCUGGGAGGCCCGCCUGGAGAGGGGGGUUCAGCGGUGCUCUGAGGCCCAGGCCCAGGCCCACCUGGAGAGGGGGGUUCAGCGGUGCUCUGAGGCCCAGGCCCAGGCCUGGAGAGGGGAGUUCAAUGGUGCUCUGAGGCCCAGGCCCAGGCUCACCUGGAGAGGGGGUUUCAGCGGUGCUCUGAGGCCCAGGCCCAGGCCUGGAGAGCGGAGUUCAGCGGUGCUCUGAGGUCCAGGCCCAGGCCCACCUGGAGAGGGGGGUUCAGCAGUGCUCUGAGGCCCAGGCCCAGGCCCACCUGGAGAGGGGGUUCAGUGGUGCUCUGAGGCCCAGGCCCAGGCCUGGAGAGGGGGGUUCAGCGGUGCUCUGAGGCCCAGGCUCAGGCCCACCUGGAGAGGGGGGUUCAGUGGUGCUCUGAAGCCCAGGCCCAGGCCUGGAGAGCGGAGUUCAGUGGUGCUCUGAGGCCCAGGCCCAGGCCUGGAGAGCGGAGUUCAGCAGUGCUCUGAGGUACAGGCCCAGGCCCACCUGGAGAGGGGGGUUCAGCAGUGCUCUGAGGGCCAGGCCCAGGCCCACCUGGAGAGGGGGGUUCUGCAGUGCUCUGAGGCCCAGGCCCAGGCCCAUCUGGAGAGGGGGGUUCAGCAGUGCUCUGAGGCCCAGGCCCAGGCCCAUCUGGAGAGGGGUGUUCAGCGGUGCUCUGAGGCCCAGGCCCAGGCCUGGAGAGGGGGGUUCAGCAGUGCUCUGAGGCCCAAGCCCAGGCCUGGAGAGGGGGGUUCAGCGGUGCUCUGAGGCCCAGGCCCAGGCCCACCUGGAGAGGGGGGUUCAGUGGUGCUCUGAGGCCCAGGCCCAGGCCUGGAGAGGGGGGUUCAGUGGUGCUCUG